UCUGCGUUCCACAGGGAUGCUGGUCCAUGUUGACUCUACAAGGUGUCUAAAGCGUUCCACAGGGAUGCUGGCCCAUGUUGACUCUACAAGGUGUCUAAAGCGUUCCACAGGGAUGCUGGCCCAUGUUGACUCUACAAGGUGUUGAAAGCGUUCCACAGGGAUACUGGCCCAUGUUGACUCUACAAGGUGUUGAAAGCGUUCCACAGGGAUACUGGCCCAUGUUGACUCUACAAGGUGUCGAAAGCGUUCCACAGGGAUACUGGCCCAUGUUGACUCUACAAGGUGUCGAAAGCGUUCCACAGGGAUGCUGGCCCAUGUUGACUCUACAAGGUGUUGAAAGCGUUCCACAGGGAUACUGGCCCAUGUUGACUCUACAAGGUGUUGAAAGCGUUCCACAGGGAUGCUGGCCCAUGUUGACUCUACAAGGUGUCUAAAGCGUUCCACAGGGAUGCUGGCCCAUGUUGACUCUACAAGGUGUCUAAAGCGUUCCACAGGGAUGCUGGCCCAUGUUGACUCUACAAGGUGUGGAAAGCGUUCCACAGGGAUACUGGCCCAUGUUGACUCUACAAGGUGUUGAAAGCGUUCCACAGGGAUACUGGCCCAUGUUGACUCUACAAGGUGUCGAAAGCGUUCCACAGGGAUGCUGGCCCAUGUUGACUCUACAAGGUGUUGAAAGCGUUCCACAGGGAUACUGGCCCAUGUUGACUCUACAAGGUGUCGAAAGCGUUCCACAGGGAUGCUGGCCCAUGUUGACUCUACAAGGUGUCGAAAGCGUUCCACAGGGAUACUGGCCCAUGUUGACUCUACAAGGUGUUGAAAGCGUUCCACAGGGAUACUGGCCCAUGUUGACUCUACAAGGUGUUGAAAGCGUUCCACAGGGAUGCUGGCCCAUGUUGACUCUACAAGGUGUUGAAAGUGUUCCACAGGGAUGCUGGCCCAUGUUGACUCUACAAGGUGUUGAAAGCGUUCCACAGGGAUGCUGGCCCAUGUUGACUCUACAAGGUGUUGAAAGCGUUCCACAGGGAUGCUGGCCCAUGUUGACUCUACAAGGUGUUGAAAGCGUUCCACAGGGAUAC